AGUAACUCAGUGGAUAGAGUGACUGCCUUCUAAGCAGUAGGUCGCAGGUUCGAAUCCUGCCUG
rnacentral:tRNA from 1 species